rnacentral:rRNA from 1 species
UUCUGUAAGCCUGUGAAGGUGGCCUGUGAGGGUUGCUGGAGGUAUCAGAAGUGCGAAUGCUGACAUAAGUAACGAUAAAGCGGGUGAAAAGCCCGCUCGCCGGAAGACCAAGGGUUCCUGUCCAACGUUAAUCGGGGCAGGGUGAGUCGACCCCUAAGGCGAGGCCGAAAGGCGUAGUCGAUGGGAAACGGGUUAAUAUUCCCGUACUUGGUGUUACUGCGAAGGGGGGACGGAGAAGGCUAUGUUGGCCGGGCGACGGUUGUCCCGGUUUAAGCGUGUAGGUGUGUGUUCCAGGUAAAUCCGGUUCACUUUAACACUGAGGCGUGACGACGAGGCACUACGGUGCUGAAGCAACAAAUGCCCUGCUUCCAGGAAAAGCCUCUAAGCAUCAGGUAACAUCAAAUCGUACCCCAAACCGACACAGGUGGUCAGGUAGAGAAUACCAAGGCGCUUGAGAGAACUCGGGUGAAGGAACUAGGCAAAAUGGUGCCGUAACU